AUGCCUGCUCGGUUCUGGGCUGAAGCCCUUAGCACUGCCACAUACUUAAUCAACCGACGGCCAUGUCAUGCUACCACACCUUGCACCCCGCAUGAACUCCUUGGGGUUGCUCCCGACUACUCCCUCCUUCGAGUCUUUGGGUGCCUGUGUUACCCCAACCUAGCUUCCACGGCCAAACAUAAACUCGAUCAUCGGUCACUUGCGUGCGUCUUCCUUGGAUAUCCAUCCGACCACCGUGGAUACCGUUGUUUCGAUCUCAUUUCACGUCGUGCCAUUACCUCUCACCAUGUCUACUUCCACGAGACGGUCUUCCCUUUCGCCACUCCAUCACCCUCUAACACCGCCGUUCCGCCGUCGCCUGCGUUUGCACCACCCAUUUUGCAGGUGCCCGUGCUCGAAGAGUGGGCUCGCGAUCGUGCCCCAUGUGCGCCUUCGCCUGUGGUCACUGGAUCGCCGCUGGACAGCCCUGACGCCCGCAUGUAG
rnacentral:rRNA from 1 species